AGGACACUAUAAAUGAUCUGAAAUGAAGGAACUGUCUCGAGUAGCUGGCGACGACGGAAAGAACGAGAAGCAGCGAAGCCGUAACAGCGAAAAAUGGCGAGGGGACAUACCGGAGAGUUUUUCAGGAGGAGGGAUCAGUGGAGGAAGCAUCCGAUGCUUUCGAAUCAGCUCCGACACGCCACCCCUGGGCUUGGAAUCGCCCUCGUGGCUUUCGGCAUUUACCUCGUCGGUGAACAAGUCUACAAUAGGCUAAAUUCUCCUUCCUCUCACCACUCUCACUCAUCCUCUUCUGUUCAUUCUUCUCACUGACCUGGGAUUCGUGUCUUGCCGCUUCUCUCAGGUAGAUUCCCAGAGCCCUGGACUGCAUCAUCUCAUGUUCUAAGACGUUUAAUAAUAAGCAUUUCGUUGACUUGAAUUUGCAGCUUUGUAUGUAAACUUGUUAUUGGUAUACUACUUUGUUAGUUUUGUGGCUCAUUAUUUUGCCUGCAUUGAAGCGCUUAUUGUUCUGCUUCAAGCGCGUUGCCUGCACAUUGGCGAAAUCCUCACCCCCCACCCCCGCCAAAAAAAAAUAAAUAAAUAAACUCUCAAGCACGGAACAUAGUUUGAACUUUAUGAGAUGAGAUUUGGAAAUGCUGGAAAUUUUAGCGAUUUAUUGUAA